CCCCCUCCUCCCCUGUGAAUCGGGAAGCAAAUCUCUGCAUUGCUGCCCCGGGGGGGGCAGGGGAGCUCCUGUGGUGUUGUGUCUGCUUUGUGACAGCUGCUUCGUAGGGCGAGCGCUUGUUCCUUGAUCGAUGUGCCCCGUUUGUCUGCAGGUGUUCCCCGCCGUCGUUCUGCCUCCCUGCGCUGAGCAGACUGUGCACGUGGAGGAGCCGCCCCACGGCCUUUGCAGCCGGCGAUUGUAAACACUAUUUUCAAAGCUUCUUUUCUUAAAAACAAACAAACAAAUUUAUAUAUAUAUAUGUAAUAUAUAUAUUUAUAUAUAUGUAUACAUAUAUAUGGCAUUUCUGAGCACACAAAAAAGUACUAUAAUUCAUUACUUGAUGAGCACGGAGGGAGGAUCGGGGAGUUUUGAAGCAGCUGGAGGCAGGCAGGAGGACGGGCGCAGAGCAGAGGCCUGGCUUUGCUCAGUGAGAGGUUCCUGGGCAGCAGGGGGGCGUUCCUGCAGCAGUGAAAUCACCACAACUGGUUUUAUUUUUUAUUCUUAUUCAUUACUUAUUCUGUUACUGUUAUUUAUGAUUUCUUUUUUUUUUUUUUUUUUAAUUUAAGUAUUUGGAUAUUAGCAAAGUAGCUGAACUACAUACCGCCAACCGAAGCACUCUAUGUAAUACUUGUACAUCUUUUUGUGUUUUUAUUCCAGAAAUAUAUUAUAUAUAUUAUAUAUAUAUAGGUAUUUUUAACUAACUGGAAUUCUGAACAGACGUUGAGCAGCAGGAAGCUGAGGGUGAGGGUUCCCUCCGCCGUGGUGGAGCAGCGUGGUCAGAGUGCGGGGACUCCUUUCAGCGUGGGGUGAAUCUGCUCACCCCAUGGCCAGGCAGUGCAGCCGGGGCAUGUUGGGCUUCUGGUAACCCACAGUAGAUGGUUUCUGUUGGUCCUCAUUGCUGCGGUGUGGCUGAGCAGUGUGACAGUGUCCUUUGCUGCCCGCUGGCCGUGCUGCUGUGCAGCUGGUGAGCUGUGGUGGUUCUGUCUGCACUCCCAGGGCUCUGUCUGGUUGGAAAGAUGGGUUUAAAGGUUUCUCGGAGCAUCACUGCUGGCACUGUUACAGCGCUGUCGGUGUGACGCCGAAGGAGGCACCAUGAUGGGCCCUCAGUGCACGUCCCUCCUCAGCAGAGUUAGGAGCUGGCAUUAUUUGGGUUUCGUUAACAAAGCGACCGUUAGGAGCUGCGUUAAUGAGGCAGUGAUGGGAAGCCCUCCAUGCGGGAGGGGUGGAACGCCCACAUUGAGGUUAAAUACACCUCAAUUAAAGAGCCCUUUUAGUUCCCAUUUCCAGACGAGCUGUCCCUCCGGCACUGCUCGGCCCAGCCCUGCUCUCUGUGCACUCCGAGUCCCCGGGCUUUGCUUUUUGUCUCCGUUCAUCGCCAGCUGCUGCCGGCUUUAAGCAGAGCCCCGCAGCGCUUCUCCCCGCUCCGUCGGGGUUUGGUGCUGCUUAUGGGGCUGCCCCACUUCUAAUGAGUUAUACACAUUUCUGUGUGCUUCCAGAAAUCAGCGGGACGCCGUCCUGAGAUUCGUGCAAGCGCUGCUGCGUGGAACCGCUGUUGGGGUGUGUGUGUGUGUGUGUGUCGGGGCGGUGUUUGCUCACGGUUGUGCCAUUAGUUGACCAUUUGCACUAAACAUGUUUCCUUUCCGAUCGUUUCCCCGUGUCCGUCUCUGCCCUCCCUUCCCAUGCAACUGGAAGGUCCCUCCCCGCGCAACAGAGCAUCUUUGUUGGAAGUGUUUGUCGGGCUGCACGCCCUGCAGUGCUCCGUAACUCCCAGCAUCCACGCGUUUCGGGUCGCCGAUGCUUUUUCAAUCGGAGAAAACCAAAAGGCAGCUCCGACUGGGAGGAGUCCCACAAAGGUAAAGUGGAAAACUGAAGUUGGCUUUAAGUGUUUGCAAUCUGAGAAAUGAUGUGAAAAAGCAGCUCAACUAAAUGUACAUUCUUUUCGACCUUUUCUUUUUUGUGUGAAGGCUUUUGUCUUUGUAUCUUUGCAUUAUUUGUAAAUGAAAUGUAAUAAAAGUU
ensembl:lncRNA